AUACGGAGGGUGCGAGCGUUAAUCGGAAUUACUGGGCGUAAAGCGUACGUAGGCGGUUUGCUAAGUCAGAUGCGAAAGCCCCGGGCUUAACCUGGGAACUGCAUUUGAUACUGGCAGACUAGAGUAUGAUAGAGGGGGGUAGAAUUCCUGGUGUAGCGGUGAAAUGCGUAGAUAUCAGGAGGAAUACCAGUGGCGAAGGCGGCCCCCUGGAUCAAUACUGACGCUGAGGUACGAAAGCGUGGGGAGCGAACAGGAUUAGAAACCCUAGUAGUCC
rnacentral:rRNA from 1 species